rnacentral:tRNA from 1 species
GCCAGGAUCGCUCAGUCGGUAGAGCCUCAGACUUUUAAUCUGAGGGUCCAGGGUUCAAAUCCCUGUUUGGGUG